rnacentral:rRNA from 1 species
GACGAACGCUGGCGGCGUGCCUAAUACAUGCAAGUAGGACGCAGAUGCGAACGGGUGAGUAACGCGUAGGUAACUACCUAUUAGAGGGGGAUAACUAUUGGAAAAGUUAGCUAAUACCGCAUACUAGUAGAUGGACCUGCGUUGUAUUAGCUAGUAGGUAGGGUAAUGGCCUACCUAGGCAACGAAACAUAGCCGUCUUGCGUGGGUGGUCGGCCACACUGGGACUGAGAAACGGGCCAGACUCCUACGGGAGGCAGCAGUAUGGGAUCUGCGGCAAUGGGGGGAACCCUGACCAAGCAACGCCGCGUGAGUGAAGAAGGUUGUCGGAUCGUAAAGCGCUGUUGUUUAGGACGCGGUACUUAAACAGAAAGGGACGGCUAACUACGUGCCAGCAGCCGCGGUAAUAC